GACGAACCGUGCGAACGUUGUUCGGAAUCACUGGGCUUAAAGGGCGCGUAGGCGGGCCAUAAAGUCAGGGGUGAAAUCCUCCAGCUUAACUGGAGAACUGCCUUUGAUACUGAUGGUCUCGAGUAAGGUAGGGGCAUGCGGAACUGAUGGUGGAGCGGUGAAAUGUGUUGAUAUCAUCAGGAACUCCGGUGGCGAAGGCGGCAUGCUGGACCUUCACUGACGCUGAGGCGCGAAAGCGUGGGGAGCAAACAGG
rnacentral:rRNA from 1 species